rfam:Myotis davidii contig24524, whole genome shotgun sequence.
UCCGAGACUGCAGUCACAUCCUGACACAGCUCUUGUCCUGUGCGCUAGAGUCUUCAGAGAGAACCUGCUGGUCUUGAGUCACCAGCGAGGGUGAUCAGUGCCCCAGUAGUGCCCAGAUCAGGAACAGGU